GACGAACGCUGGCGGCGUGCUUAACACAUGCAAGUCGAACGGAAAGGCCCUGCUUUUGUGGGGUGCUCGAGUGGCGAACGGGUGAGUAACACGUGAGUAACCUGCCCUUGACUUUGGGAUAACUUCAGGAAACUGGGGCUAAUACCGGAUAGGAGCUCCUGCUGCAUGGUGGGGGUUUGAAAGUUUCGGCGGUUGGGGAUGGACUCGCGGCUUAUCAGCUUGUUGGUGGGGUAGUGGCUUACCAAGGCUUUGACGGGUAGCCGGCCUGAGAGGGUGACCGGCGACAUUGGGACUGAGAUACGGCCCAGACGCCUACGGGAGGCAGCAGUGGGGAAUAUUGCACAAUGGGCGGAAGCCUGAUGCAGCAACGCCGCGUGCGGGAUGACGGCCUUCGGGUUGUAAACCGCUUUCGCCUGUGACGAAGCGUGAGUGACGGUAAUGGGUAAAGAAGCACCGGCUAACUACGUG
rnacentral:rRNA from 1 species